rnacentral:rRNA from 1 species
AUACGGAGGGUGCAAGCAUUAAUCGGAUUUAUUGGGCGUAAAGGGGGCUAAGGCGGAAGUAUAAGUCAGAUGUGAAAGAUCGAGGCUCAACCUCGGGAGCGCAUUUGAAACUGUACAUCUAGAGGAUAUGCGGAGAAGGCGGAAUUCCACAUGUAGCGGUGGAAUGCGUAGAUAUGUGGAGGAACACCGGUGGCGAAGGCGGCUUUCUAGCUUAUAUCUGACGCUGAUGCCCGAAAGCUGGGGGAGCGAACAGGAUUAGAAACCCGAGUAGUCC